GACGAAUGCUGGCGGCGUGCUUAACACAUGCAAGUCGAACGGAAAGGCCCUGCUUGCAGGGUACUCGAGUGGCGAACGGGUGAGUAACACGUGGGUGAUCUGCCCUGCACUUCAGGAUAAGCCUGGGAAACUGGGUCUAAUACCGGAUAGGAGCCAUUUUUAGUGUGAUGGUUGGAAAGUUUUUUCGGUGUAGGAUGAGCUCGCGGCCUAUCAGCUUGUUGGUGGGGUAAUGGCCUACCAAGGCGGCGACGGGUAGCCGGCCUGAGAGGGUGGACGGCCACAUUGGGACUGAGAUACGGCCCAGACUCCUACGGGAGGCAGCAGUGGGGAAUAUUGCACAAUGGGCGCAAGCCUGAUGCAGCGACGCCGCGUGGGGGAUGACGGCCUUCGGGUUGUAAACUCCUUUCGCUAGGGACGAAGCUUUUGUGACGGUACCUAGAUAAGAAGCACCGGCUAACUACGUG
rnacentral:rRNA from 1 species